AGGAAUAUUGGUCAAUGGACGCCAGUCUGAACCAGCCAAGUAGCGUGAAGGAUGACUGCCCUAUGGGUUGUAAACUUCUUUUAUAUGGGAAUAAAGUGGUCCACGUGUGGACUUUUGUAUGUACCAUAUGAAUAAGCAUCGGCUAACUCCGUGCCAGCAGCCGCGGUAAUACGGAGGAUCCGAGCGUUAUCCGGAUUUAUUGGGUUUAAAGGGAGCGUAGAUGGAUGUUUAAGUCAGUUGUGAAAGUUUGCGGCUCAACCGUAAAAUUGCAGUUGAUACUGGAUAUCUUGAGUGCAGUUGAGGCAGGCGGAAUUCGUGGUGUAGCGGUGAAAUGCUUAGAUAUCACGAAGAACUCCGAUUGCGAAGGCAGCCUGCUAAGCUGCAACUGACAUUGAGGCUCGAAAGUGUGGGUAUCAAACAGGAUUAGAUACCCUGGUAGUCCACACGGUAAACGAUGAAUACUCGCUGUUUGCGAUAUACUGCAAGCGGCCAAGCGAAAGCGUUAAGUAUUCCACCUGGGGAGUACGCCGGCAACGGUGAAACUCAAAGGAAUUGACGGGGGCCCGCACAAGCGGAGGAACAUGUGGUUUAAUUCGAUGAUACGCGAGGAACCUUACCCGGGCUUAAAUUGCAGAUGAAUUACGGUGAAAGCCGUAAGCCGCAAGGCAUCUGUGAAGGUGCUGCAUGGUCGUCGUCAGCUCGUGCCGUGAGGUGUCGGCUUAAGUGCCAUAACGAGCGCAACCCUUGUUGUCAGUUACUAACAGGUUCCGCUGAGGACUCUGACAAGACUGCCAUCGUAAGAUGUGAGGAAGGUGGGGAUGACGUCAAAUCAGCACGGCCCUUACGUCCGGGGCUACACACGUGUUACAAUGGGGGGUACAGAGGGCCGCUACCACGCGAGUGGAUGCCAAUCCCCAAAACCUCUCUCAGUUCGGACUGGAGUCUGCAACCCGACUCCACGAAGCUGGAUUCGCUAGUAAUCGCGCAUCAGCCACGGCGCGGUGAAUACGUUCCCG
rnacentral:rRNA from 1 species